rnacentral:rRNA from 1 species
UUUUUAGUUAAUAAUAUUUUAAAAAUUUUAUUUAAUAAUAUUUUAAAAAAAAUUAAUUAAUUAGUGUAAUAUUAAUAAUAAAAUGAAUUUAUUUUUAAUUGAAAAAGUUUAUUUUUAAAAUAUUAUAAGAAUAAUUUAAUUUUUAUACCUUUUGUAUUAGGAUUAAUUUAAUUUUUUAUAAAUAUUUAUAAUUUUAGAAAUUUAAUGAUAUAAAAUAAAAUUUACUUUAAUAUAAAAUUAUUAUUAUAAAUUUUAUUUUAGGAAUGAUAUAUUUAUCAAAUUAAAUGAUAUUUAAUUUUUAAAGAAAUAAAUUUAAUUUUAUUUAUAUUAAUUAUUAUUUAAAUUUAUUUAUUAAUAAUUUUUAUAAUUUUAAAAUAAUAGGGUUAAAUUUAUUAUUUUUAAUUAAAAUAUUUAAUUUAAUAUUAAAUUAAUUUAAGUAAUAAAAUUAUAUUAAAAUUAUAAUAUUAAUAUAAAAUAUUAAUUUUAAUUAUAUUUUAAUUAUAUUUAAUUAUUUAUUUAAAAUUUUAUUUUAAUAAUUAUUUUAAAUUUAUAAUGAUUAAAUUAGUAAUAAAAUUUUUAUAUAAUUAUAAUUUAUUUAUAAUAUUUUUUUAAGAAUUAAGCAAUUUUAAUUUUUAUUUGUUUAAUAAAAACAUGUUUUUAUGAAUUUAAUUUUAGAUUGAUUCUGUUCAAUGAUAUUUAAAUAAUUGCAAUAUAUUUAUUGUACUAAGGUAGCAUAAUAAUUUGAGUUUUAAUUUGAUUCUAGAAUGAAAGAGUUAAUAAAAAAUUUAUUUUUUUUUAAUUUUAAAUUGAAUUUAAUUUAAGAAUAAAAAAGUUUUUAUAUAAUUAAUAGACGAGAAGACCCUAUAGAAUUUAAUUUAUUAAAAUUUAAUUUAUAAAUUGAUUUAUAAUAAAUUUAAUUGGGAUGAUUUAAAAAUUAAUUUAACUUUUUAUUGAUAAAAUUUAUAAAAUUUUAAUUUGAAUUUAAUUUUUAAUUAUUAAAUAAAUUACCUUAGGGAUAACAGCAUAAUUUUUUUAAAUAGUUCAUAUUGAUAAAAAAGGUUAUGACCUCGAUGUUGAAUUAUAAUUAAAUUAUUAUGAAAAAUUUAUAUAUUUUAGUCUGUUCGACUAAUAGAAUUAUACAUGAUUUGAGUUAAAAUCGGUGUAAGCCAGAUUGGAUUUUAUUUAUUAUUAAUAAAAUUUUAAUUGUACGAAAGGAUUUUAAAAUUU